rnacentral:rRNA from 1 species
AACGAACGCUGGCGGCAGGCCUAACACAUGCAAGUCGAACGCCCCGCAAGGGGAGUGGCAGACGGGUGAGUAACACGUGGGAACGUGCCCAAAGGUUCGGAAUAUUCCCGGGAAACUGGGAGCAAUACCGAAUGUGUCCGCAAGGAGAAAGAUUUAUCGCCUUUGGAUCGGCCCGCGUCGGAUUAGCUAGUUGGUGGGGUAAAAGCCUACCAAGGCGACGAUCCGUAGCUGGUCUGAGAGGAUGAUCAGCCUCACUGGGACUGAGACACGACCCAGACUCCUACGGGAGGCAGCAGUGGGGAAUAUUGGACAAUGGGCGCAAGCCUGAUCCAGCCAUGCCGCGUGGAUGAUGAAGGCCCUAGGGUUGUAAAGUCCUUUCGGCGGGGAAGAUAAUGACGGUACCCGCAGAAGAAGCCCCGGCUAACUUCGUGCCAGCAGCCGCCGUAAAAC